CGGCGGCCGGCGCCACCCGAUUGGUGGGCCACGGUUGGCGAGGCGGAAAACCCGGGGCGGAUUUCUGGUCGCUUUUGUUCCCGCAGAUUUGCGCGGAGCCUUGUUUUUGGGGGAAAGCCAGGAGCUGGGCCUUCCUGCUUUAUUCCUGAGCAGUAUCCCGGGAAGGUGGCGGCCGUCUAGAAAGAGCUACUGGAGCGGGGCUCUGGAGACCCGCGUUCCAACUCUCUAUCUGCCCCUGCUGAGCUGUGUGACCUUGGGCAAGUCACUUGGCCUCUCUGAGCCCUGGGCGCCUCCCCGGAAAAAUGAGGGUAAUAAUAACCACCACAGGGGGCUUGUGAGAAGGUGGUGAGCUCACAGAGGGCCGGCACCUACAUUUUUUAGGCGGCCUGCCUGCCUGGGGGUGGGGUAGUGGGAGGAGUAAGCCUUCUCCAAAAACCUUGACGAGAGGAGACUAUCAGCCGCCGAUCAUCAGUCCAUCUUCUUUCAGCGGGCCACCUCCUCGGCCUGUGGAACAGAGAAAAUGCAAACCCAGGGGCCAAGGGUCAGGGAGAACCUGGCAGGAAGUACCAGAGGUGGCAGCUACUGCCCCGGAAUUUGCACUGGCCCGUACUGUGGUUGGGGGAAGGGGAGCCCGGGCGGCGUCCCACCUCUGGAUCCCACGACUUCAGGAUCCUCCACUUCUAGAAACUCAGGACGGAGCGAGGUGCGUUCCCCGGCGCCCUUCCCCCAGAAGAUGUCCUUUCGGUGUCCUGGCGAUCUAGGCCCGGCCCAUCUCCUUGGUGGCUGCCAGAUGUGCCGGCCUUGGGGUGCCCUCUGGGCAGAGCCCCCAGCCUGGUUCUGGGGUUCGCUCGGGGGUGUGUGGGUUCCUCAGGGCACCGUCGGGGGUGCUGAGAACGUCUAGGGAAGUUCUCUCUUGGGUCCUCAGGCGCACCUGUGUUGGGGAGGCCUGUUGGUGAAGCAGCACUCCUCUCCUGCCCCCACCCGCCAGGCAAGGUUCCCAGGAGCCACCCCAGGGCUCUCAUCACCCUGGGAGAAGAGGCGUGGGGUCAGAGCCAGGUGGCUUCCCAGCAGGCACAGGGGCCCUCCGGGGACUGUUGGGUGCCCCCCACAAGCAGUGACUGAGUUCCUCCUUGUUUUCUUGGGCCUUAUUCUUUUAUGGGAUUCCAGGGAAGUGGUCACAUUCCAAAAUCUAAGAUCUGAGUAAGCCAGGAACAACUUGUCCUCUUGACAAAGGAGGCCCCCCGAGUGGACGCAUCUUGGACCUUCUCAUUCCAGAGGCUUCUCAAGCCCAGCCCCCGGGGCACCGUGCACACCUGGAUUCCAGUCCCAGCUCUGGCCUGGCACUCGUUCAACCCCUCUGAGCCUCAGUUUGCUCAUCUGUGAAAGAGAGCCAGGAACCAGCGGCCAGCUGCAGCAGAAGUCAGAGUGCUGACCAGAGUCCCUGUGACCUGAGAGGGCAGAGGCCUGCCUGCAGGACCCCUGGUCCAAGUCCACCCAGCUCCCAACGCCUUCUUGUUAAUUCUUGAUGUGCCGUUUGAUAUUUAAUGUCAAACUGAGAUGAAUAGCAUCCCCCCGAAUUCUAUGUCCACCUGGAACCUGGGACCUGACCUUGUUUGGAAACAAGGUCUGUGCGAAUGUAAUUAAGGAUCAGGAAUACAGUGGAUUAGCAAAGGCUGGAGAUUCAAUGGGACUCUUCUUACAAGAGACAGAAAAGAGCCUGCAGAGAUUUAGGGGGAAGGCCACUUGAAGACAGAGGCAGAGAUUGGAGCCAAGGGGUCGAUGCCCAGGCCACCGUGCACCCCAAGAGGCAGGGAGGGUCUUGCAGAACCUUCAAGGGGAACUCAGCCUGCCCACACCUUGGCUUUGGACUCCUGGCCUCCAGAGCUGUGUGGAAGGGUGAAUCCAUUAUUUUAAGCUCCCCCCCCCACUUCUUUGCGAUCUUUCUUUAGAGCACCCACAGGAAACCAAUUCAGUGUCAUAUCCCCCUGAACUUCAGUUGGGCUCCACUUAAUUCAGCUCAUAAUGGAUGUUAAAUCCUUACCCUCCGAGAUCAGACCUCUCUGUUUCAGGUUUGGGGGUCUUGGAAGUUUUAGGUGGACACAAUAUCUUCACCUUAUUUUUAUGUGAUGCUAAGGAUCGAACCCAGCGCCCGGCGCAUGCCAGGUGAUGACCAGGAGGGACCAUAAAUCAAUCAGCCCACUGUUCCAAAGUGCAGAGUCCUUCCCUGACUCCAACACCUUGCUUCUCCUCUAACUCAGAGUCCAGCCCAGGAGAAAACCUGGGGAGGCCCAGUGGGGACUGGGACAAGAGAGGCAGAGUUGAGAUCAGUGCCCUGUGAACAUGGUGUCCAUCAUGCUCCCUGGAGGACACGGGGAAGCUCCUGGCACAGAUUGCUACUGAAUUUUCCUGGGGUGCAUCCUCAGGGUGUGACCUCUGGGGAUCCCUCUUUCCCAUGGCCUACACCCUGCUCUCCUGUGACGAUUCUCGUUCCCUGCCUGGGCUCCUGGCCCCUCGUGGGGUCACCGCCGUGACAUACAACAGGUCCUGUUGCCUCCAUCCUUAUUCCCAUUUUAUGGGUGUGGAGCGGUCAAGGAAUUUGCUCAGGCCAUGCUGUCCGCUCAUGUUGGAACUGGAGCCUGACCUAGGUCAAUGAUCCACAGACUCUGUCCCUCCCGAAGGAAAUAACAAACAGGACACAUGGUUCAUUUGCUAUUUCUGCAAACUGGAGACUCCAAAGGUGUCUUAUUGGUGCCAGUUUUUCUAGCCAUGAUUACUGACAAAGUCCACCUGCAGUCAUAAUUGGGCAAUUGUCCCCAAGUGAUGCCAAGCCCUGGUUUCCACCAGUGACAGUUUUAUCCACAGCAGUCUGGGGUGUCUAGUGUUGGGCUGGAUGCCAUUGGUCUCCAGUGGCAUCAUCUGGGCUCUUUAGAAUCGAGAAUCCUAAGCUGAUCCCAGAGAAGGAGGGGCACUCCCUGCAGUGUGAGCCUUGGAAUCUGCAUUUGUGCUAGCAACCUGGUGGUCCCGACACACACGUGUGACAGCAGCUCUUGGGGCAUGGCUCUGCUGCUUCCAGCCCCCUAGGCUGCUUUGAUUAACAACAGCAAUCAUGAUAGUAAUUAGGGUUUCCUGUACACAUGGAGGCCUGAUUACAGAUGGGGAGUGGAGGCUGAGCAAGGGUAAACCACCAACCCGGGGCCACCAGCCGGCGGCUCUGGCUCUCACCACGGCAUGCGGCAGACCCAGCUGUGGUGGGUGCUUGUGGCUUCUCCUAUGUCCCUGCCUCUUGCACCACAGCAAAGGUGUCCUCUGACAGUCAGCAGGCGAUCCACCGUGCUCCGCGUCGAGUGGCCCGUUUCACUUUCCUUUUUAUCAUAGAAAAUUCCAAACAUGCCCCAACGGUAAGGAGCAGCAUGGUGACCCCUCACCACGGGGCAGCUUCAGCAGGGACAAGAUUGGUCUUAGAGCCCAGACCAUGCAAGGCAGCCCAGUUGGCCCAAGCCCUGCCCUGACCGUCCUCCUACGUCCACCGGGCGCGCUGGGGCCGCAGGUGUGAGCUCCAGCAGAGCCAGAGGACAGUCCCCUCCACCUGUGGUCCUGCUCCUACUUGUAUCACACAUUUUCUUUCUGAAGUAUUUUCAAGUAAAUAAGGGGUUUAAAAACCUA